CUACAAGUUAGAAAACAACAACUGAAGGGAAAAUGAUGAAAUCGCAGCUUCACUCAUUUUUGCAGAUAAAAUCAGCAAUCCAUGAGACCAGUGAAAAGACACAGGGUGUCUGAUGGACAGAAACAUGGAAGGAAUUUCAUAUUUUUCUAUUUCUUUUCUACUCCCUGCUCCAUGUCUGUCCAGACUGCUCCUUUCCCCCACCUGCAGCUUCAAUGACAUUUUUGAAAACAAUGGGGAGUCUUUCUUGCAGCUGUCUUUCUGAGAUCGCCCAGAUAAGAAGAUGUCAGAACCAAUGUAUUCAUGAAAAAUGAAGUGCCACCUUCAGCUUCAGGAAGGUUGCUCAUCCCUGCUUUGCAGUCACUGUUCAAUGACCAGGAGACCCAUGGAAGAUUUCUGAGGGAAUGAAGAAAGGCAAAGCAGCUGGCCCUUGCCCCACGCAGGCCUAUGUAGGAAUGCCAGAACUGCAAAAUCAAUUAUUAUGUGUGCAUCCCUCUUACUUCUUACAGUUCCUUUACUUUUCUUUGCAGAGAUCGACUUCUGAUGAUUUGUUAUAGAUCAACUCAACUGUAAUAAAGGAGCCCUGUUGAGGCUGAAAUGACUCUUCUCUUAUCUCUUAAGGAUAAUGCUCCCAGUGUGUGGCCAUGUAUCUAGGUUACUGUAGAUCUCUAAGCAUUGGACAGAAAAGCAUGGUAGGUCUACCAGACCCGAGUUGAAAGACUCAGAAUGAUCACUAGACAGAAAUCAAGGAUUAGAGUAUUGUGUGCUAAAACCAAGGAGGUAUUUAUCUAUGAGACUUAACAUUCUGCAAGCAAGCCAAUGCAGUGUCAUUUCAGCAAGCUUUCAGCCACAAAUGAAAAAGAUUACUAUAGAUGUCAUGGAGUGAGUUUCAUUUACUGCGAAUGAAAGCCCCAAUGUCAGCUGUACAUUGGUGCAAUAAAUCUCUCCACAGGUGAUCCAGAGAGGUUCUCAGGUUAGGGCCUAGAGGUCAAUAUUAGCAGCAAUGUACUGAUUUGCAUUGCUUGCAGCUUAGUUUGGCUGUAGAGAGAAACAAUGGAGACAGAAGACAGAUUCCCUGAAGGGCUAAUUGUUUAAAUAAACAAUGCUACAUACCAUUGAUAGGUUUGCUUUAUGUAUCCUGUUUGCUGACUACUUUUCAAUGAAAAGUAGGCUAAAUAUUCUUAA